GACGAACGCUGGCGGCGUGCUUAACACAUGCAAGUCGAACGGAAAGGCCCUGCUUUUGUGGGGUGCUCGAGUGGCGAACGGGUGAGUAACACGUGAGUAACCUGCCCUUGACUUUGGGAUAACUUCAGGAAACUGGGGCUAAUACCGGAUAGGAGCUCCUGCUGCAUGGUGGGGGUUGGAAAGUUUCGGCGGUUGGGGAUGGACGCGCGGCUUAUCAGCUUGUUGGUGGGGGAGUGGCUUACCAAGGCAUUGACGGGUAGCCGGCCUGGGAGGGUGACCGGCCACCUUGCGACUGCGGUACGGCCCAGUCGCCUACGGGAGGCAGCGGGGGGAAGUAUUGCACAAUGGGCGCGAGCCUGAUGCGACGACGCCGCGUGCGGGAUGACGGCCUUCGGGUUAUGAACCGCUGUCGCCUGUGACGAAGCGUGAGUGACGGUAAUGGGUAAAGAAGCACCGGCUAACUACGUG
rnacentral:rRNA from 1 species